rnacentral:lncRNA from 1 species
AGUCGAUCUGGAGAGUUGAUCGUCGUUAUUGUUCCCUAGUGUCAUGGGCUGGUUAGCUGGGGGUGUCAUUUUGGCUCUAGUUUAAUUUUAAUUUAUCUAUGGCCUCCCACAGGCUGGAGGAGUGGUGUAUGAUUCGGUAGGAUGGCUGUCUCUUUCCCGCUGCAAGGACCCUUGUCUUCCUUGUCUGUUUUUAUACUGUUGGCCUCUCUUAAUUUUAAGCAUUUUUUGCUUGUGAAUCUGGAGCUAUAAUAGUCUGGCUGGCGGUUUGAUUUAAUUCAUUCAACAAGGAAGGAUUGGUUGGUGUAAUCUUAGGUCGCCAUCAGCUUUCCUUGCGUGUUUUUCGGUGUUGAUGGUGGCUUGUGCGUGCCAUAGUAUUCUCGGCAUGGAAUCUCGCACGUCCCCGCAUGGCCACAUCAACUUGUUUGCCAACCACCAUGUGGUGUGGUGUGACCAUCUGGAGGGCAAACAACAGUAAAAUAAUGCAUACCCAAGUUUUUUUAGCACACCCUCAAACCGACUAUCAUCCGGUCGCAUUUUGGCAUCCAACACCGUACCCCAUUGUGUGGCAGCUGUUUGGACGUUCGUAAAGCCUCCCGAUUUGUCUCCGGUUUGCGGAAAAAAGGGACAUCUUGACCGAACUUCUCAUUGCAUGAAGAAGGUGUCGCGUAUUCAUGACGGCAUGCGCCGCUCCAGAGCGCCAGCGUGCGUUCAUGCCGGCGCAUGAGCGGACGCAACUUCUCAUUGGAGACGGCAUUGUAGCGAUGCGCUGCCUGAGGGAGUCGCCCUAUCUCCGCAGUGGAUGGUGUCUGUGAAGAUUGUCCCCUACUAUAAGGUAACAAAGGAUGUCUCUUUUCUCAAAUGCAAGAAGUUGCUAGGAAGCACGUGGAGAUGACAUUUGGAUUGCUCCAAUCUCGAUGGAUAAUUAUUCGCGGAGCUACAAAUAUGUGGGAUCCUGAGACAUUGUGGAAGUGAUGACAUGUCGUGUAAUUUUCCAGAACAUGGUUGUGAAGGCUGAGUGUGAUGGGGCUGCCCGUACACACGAUUUUGAAAUGCCUGGAGUGAAUGUACGUCCGGAAUAGGUUCCAGAGCAUGUUGUCAACUUCUCAAAGAUUCAUCGACAACUCCAAGGUCAUUAGGAGCACGCUCAGUUACUAAAUAAUUAUGUGGAGCAUAUGUGGAUCCAGAUCGAAAACCAUUAAAAUUAAUGUUCAACUAUGCACUAGAUAUGCAUUGAUAACUUCGAUUAUGCACACGGAAGUACUCAAUAAUCUUGUUGUCCAUAUGUGGAUCCAGAUCUUAAUGUUCGAUUAUGCACUAGAGAUGCAUUGAUAACUUCGAUUAUGCACAUGCAAGUACUCAAUAAUCUUGUUCUGCAUAUGUGGAUCCACACCAGAAACCAUCACACUGAGUAAUACAUAUGUUUCAACUAUCUAUUUCAUUCUAAUUAUUUAUAGUUGAAUUGUUGUGUGUUUGCAUUCAUUGUUGUGCGCAAUUUCUAUGGUUGAAUGAUCUACUUGCAUGGAAUUGAUGUUUUGAAGAUGAAGGGUGUGGUUGCCCGGACGGAAAACUGGGGGCUCGCCGGCUAGUGUCCAUUGCAUACAUCUGUGGACAUAUAGGGAGCACGUUGGCAAGUGCGGUUGGAGAUGCUCUUACCUACCAAUUGGGCCUAGGACUUUUGUUAGAUUUCAUACGGGUUUUUGAACAUUAGCAUAUUAUUAAUCAAACUAGAAAGUUACACAUAGUCUCUUGGAUACAUUCUGAAGAAGAACAAAAGGCACAAAGAUUACUAAAGUUCACAGAAGCCCUGGCCAAACAAUGAGCCACAUCAUUACCAUGCGACGCACAAACAUAAAAAGCACCGAAGAGAAAACGUUGGACGCAAAUUUGAUGUCAGCCACCACCGAUCUGACCGAAGAUCUGUCGUGAGAAGAGAGUGCAGGCGUUGGAUCAGCGACGGACAAUCAGAGGCAAAGAUGACCUUGUGGAAUUUCUCCUCCCGAGCCAGGAAGACCGCCCGGCGAAGCGCCUUCGCUUCAGCCAGUUCAGGAGGGAGCUCCCCUUGGGAAGACUCACAACAGGCAAUGACACAGCACCCGGCAUGAUCAAGAUCCAUCACGCCUAUUAGAGUAUAUUCGGCCGGUUCAGUUUUUGAGACCAUACAGUGAUUUGUUAAGGAGACAGACAAGAGUUGGUGAGGAGGGAUUUUCGAAGCCAGAGGGUUGCUGGCAGUACACAGUUUCAUUUAGUGUUCCAUGGAGAAAAGCAUUUUUGACAUCUAGUUGGUGAAUAGGCCAUGAAGAGGAAACUGCAAGACUAAGAACAACACUAAUGGUGCUAGGUUUUACCACAGGAGAAAAAGUCUCAUCAAAAUCAAUGUCAUGCUGCUGGGAAAAACCACGACAAACCCAGCGAGCUUUGUAGCAAGCAAGAGAAUCAUCGGCAUGAAACUUGUGGCGAAAAACCCACUUGCCAGAGACAAUAUUAACACCAGGUGGUUUUGGAACUAAAGUCCAGGUGUUCUGCUGUAGAGCAUCGAAUUCGUCUUAGCAGAAAACCAAAGAGGAUCAAGAAGAGCUCGUUUAUAUGAAGUGGGAAUAGGGGAGACAGUCGGUGUGGCCGUGAGAUUAAGACGGCGAGUAGGGAGAUGAAAACCGUGUUUGCCACGAGUACACAUGACAUGAUCGUUGGUGGGAGCUUGAAUGGGUACAUCAUGUGGAGGAAUGGGUGGUGACGGACUAGGGGCUAUAGGAGAAGGAGAUGAAGCAGCAGGUGUAGAAGAUGGGUCGAGGGAUGAGAAGGGGAAAGGUUGUUUGUAACAAGAGUGGAAGGCGGACUGGCUUGUGUAGUAUCGGCCGUGGACGGGGUGGUAGUGGUGCUGGUUGAUGCGGUGGCGGGUGGGGAAGGUUCCGCGGCCGAGAUGAUGGCAAGAAGAGAAGAUGGAUGAGUAGUGGAAGAUGGUGAGGGAGAGGAAGAGGCAGUGGUGGCAACGGCAAAGGGAAAAACAUGCUCAUCAAAGGUGACAUGUCUCGAGAUAAACACAUGACCGGAAGAGGGAUCAAAACAGCGAUGCCCUUUGUGAUCAUCGGAGAGGCCAAGAUAAAUGCAGGGUAGAGAUUGUGGGGCUAGUUUGUGAGUUGUGAUGGAUGUGAUGUUAGGAAAGCAUAGGCAACCAAAUACCCGAAGAGAAAGGUAGUCGGGAUCAGAUAGAAGAAGAUAUUGAAAGAGUGUAUAGCAAGGACACGUUUUGGUGGGGCGGAUGUGUUGACACCUGAUUUUGGCACAAUGGAGAAUGCAAUGGAGAUGGCCUCAAAUGACAAAAUAUUCUAAAUGAGAAAUUUCACAUUGCCGAGUGGAACAACUUUGAUGUUUGGACCAUAAUCAUUCGGCAUCAUAUCAAAGACCAAAACUACACUCAGAUUGUCAUGUAGGUGUUCUGAGUGCUUUUUGGUCAAGUACGCCUCCAGGACAAUCUCGAAUGAAGGAAUGCUCUCCAUGAAUUGUCUUCGUCUCGUCGAAUCGGUCGAUUUUGAUAUAAAAAUCAUCUCAAUCCGAGUUCGUAUGCAAAAGUUAGAACUAUCUGGAUGCAGCCGUGUCAAGAGGCGAAAUAUGACGCGGAAGACCAGACAUGUCUUGGCAAGUGUCUGAUGUAAUGCGUGAGUGUUUUGGCCCAGAAGAUGGCCUCGAAUCGGAAAACGUUCAACACGAAAGUUUUUCGUCUCGUCAAAACAGUCAACUUUGCUUUUGGACACAUUUUCAUCCGAGGUCAUUUACUGCCUCAAAAACCUUGUCGGGGAAAGCUUGCCGCCGUGAACAGUAACCUUGCCGGGGAAAGCUUGCCGCCGUGAACAGUAACCUUGCCGGGGAAAGCUUGCCGCUGUGAACAGUAACCUUGCCGGGGAAAGCUUACCGUCGUGAACAGUAACCUUGCCGGGGGAGAGCUUGCCGCCGUGAACAGUAACCUGCCGGGGAAAGCUUGCCGCCAUGAACAGUAACCUUGCCGGGAAAGCUUGCUGCCGUGAACAGUAGAAACUGUCGAGGCCAAUCCGACCAGAUGCUGAAGAUGGGCUCAAAUACUUAUCUAGAUGGCUUCGGAUGAAGAAGUGUUCAACACAGGAGUUGUUCGUAACGUUGAAAUGGUCAACUUUGCUUUUGGAGUCAUCAUCAUCCGACGUAGUAUACGACCUGCAGAGACGCUGCAAGAGUCGGACGGUCCAGUCAGCUACAUGAACGAGUCCGACUCGAAAUUAGAGAUGACCUUGUGGAGUAUUCAAGAUGGCCUUAUUUGGAAAAGUGAUCAACAUACGGAUUGUUGGCCUCGUCGAAGCACACAUAAUUGAUAUUUGAACCGUCUCCAUCGGAAGUCAUAUGCAGAUUCCACAGCCCAUGCAAGGAACAAGAUAGAAGAUUGGACCAGAUUCGGGCUGAAUCCGAGUGGGACCAGAACUAGGAUUCUAGGACGUGAAUUGAUGUAAUUUUCUUGUAAGGAAAGCCUAGAUAAAUCCUUUGCUUGUACGGGAAGUCCAGCCGCCUCUUAUAUAUGUUGGGGGUGACGGCCGAUUGAAACAACACACAAUCGAAAAAAUCAAUAUACUACUUUUUCAUCUACGUUUUAUCUCUCCACCGUUUUUCUAUCUCAUUCUUCGCUGUUCUUCGUGUUUGAGAGCUGUGAAUCCCGAGGCUCUAGGGGCGAGCGAAUCGACCUAGGGCAGCCCAUAGCCGCCGCACUCCCUGAUGCGGUCCCUCCCGGGGGUGUGGGGUUUUCGGGUCUGCAAAAGCGCCCGUCGACUGUCUUGCGUAUUGCGCUGUCGGUCGGGUCUCCUUCGAUGUGAGCUGCGGUGCAUCACCCCCGGCGUCGAGGGUACACGUGGCGUGUUCGUGUGUCAACACACUUUUUGGCGACUCCGCUGGGGACGAAGAUCAAUCAUCAUCAUCCACCAUGUCCGAUCUUCCCAAGCCAUCUGAGGUAGAUGCUGAUAACAUCAUUAAGCCCAGUCUUGAUGAGAUAUCGGCUGAUCAUCGCCAAGUCUAUGAGGAGUACAAGAAGACACGUGAGGAGAAGGACCUGCAGGAGUUCCUUGCAAAAUUCAAGAAAGAUCGCCAAGGCAACAUCACUCCGAUUGGAGAAAUCAAGUUUCCUCCUCUUCAAGCCGAGCAGGUUAAACUCGCUGUGAGUACUACCUUUUCUCCUGAGCAGUGGGCUGAGAUUGAGAGUCGUAUUGCUGAUGGUAACAAUCUGGUCUAUCAAACUUUCAUAGAAAAUACCAAUGCUCAAAAAAAUAUAUCUCAAUCAUCUAGUGGUAAUGAUGGUGUAGCUGCUAGUGUGCAAAACCCUAAUCUGGCUUUACCUAUUGCAUCGGCGCUUCCUGUGCCAAUGGCUUAUUGUCCUACCCAAACAAAUCAGAUUGUGGCUACACCCAUUAACCCUAUUAUGAGCGUGCCAGGUUCGGUGGCAACGCCGAACUAGACCCUACCUACAGCUACAUCCACUCGACCAUUACCAAAAUAUGGGUCGACGUACAUGCCACAAUUCCUACCUACAGCUAGUAACCCUACUCCUCCUAUGCCACUGCAACAAGCGUCAUCGUCCGCUAUGGAUGAUGGUCUAGCUAAUCUUAGAGAGGAGAUGGCUAAGAUGCUUCGAGAGAAUUUUGGAGUUGAGUUACCUCGGAAUCGGAUUUACCAAAAGUCAUACCCCGAGUACUUUGAUGCCAUCCAGUGCCCUCCAGGAUAUAAAAUUCCAGAUUUUGUUAAAUUUAAUGGAGAAGGCAUAAAAACCACAUGGGAGCAUGUUAGUCAAUAUUUAGCACAAUUGGGUGAGGCAGGCUCAUUGAACGAAUUGAAAGUGCGUUUAUUUCCUUUAUCAUUAACUGGUACCGCAUUUUCAUGGUUUUCUUCUUUACCCCAUGGUUCCAUUCGGGUUUGGUCGCAGCUAGAGCAGAAGUUUCAUGAUCACUUUUAUAGCGGCGACAAUGAACUCAAGUUGUCACAUCUAACAUCGGUUAAGCAGAAGCAUGAUGAAUCGGUCUCCGAUUAUGUCAAGAGAUUUAGAGAAACAAAAAACCGGUGUUUUAGUUUGGUGAUAACCGAGAGAGACUUGGCAGACCUAGUGCUGAGUGGUUUGAGAACUCCAAUCAGAGAAAAGCUAGAAGGCUAUGAGUUCUUAAAUAUCAACCAAGUCUUACAAAGGGCUUUGGCUCAGGAAAGCCGAAGCAAAGACCUCAAAGAAGUGCAUAGAUACAAAGCCGAUCGUCCAAAGAUGAAUAUGAUCGAAUAUGAUGGUGAUCACUCGGACGAUGAGGGUGAUGUUUUUUCUACUGAAUUUGUUUGGCCAUCUAAGGACAAACCAUUUACUUGCAAUGAUCUGAAACCGAUUCAUAAGAAUCGUGAUGAAGAGAUGAAGUUUACUUUUAACGUUGCCAAGUGUGAUAAAAUAUUUGAUGCUUUGCUGCAAGCUAAAAUUAUUAGAAUAACUCAUACUUUGCCGCCGUUUGAAGAGCUGAAACGGCGCACUUAUUGCAAGUAUCAUAAUUCUUUUUCUCAUGCUACUAACGAUUGCAAUGUUUUUCGACGACAGAUACAAUCGGCCAUUAAUGACGGACGAUUGAACUUUUCUGAAAUGCAAGUUGAUAAACAGCCUUUUCCAAUGAAUACCAUGGAUUUGGAGGGGAAGAAGCUACUCAUUCGGCCGGAGGUAGCCGAAUCUGCUAAUAAAGCUAAUGUCAUUGUCGGUGAGCCCAGGAAAGACAAGGAGGACAACAAGGUCUUGGGGAGACAGGUUGUGCUUGAUAAGCAACCCGAUGGCAAGGAAGUGAUCAAAAUCACCAUCAAGAAUCCUACACUCGGGGGGCAACCGCAAGUGCAAGAAAAUACUCGUGUUAAAUUUGUCAAGCCCAAGAGUCCAGAAGUUGGCAAGUGGAAGAAGAAUGAAGCUAAAGUGCAGCGCAAGCGGAUCAAGCCAACUUUUGAUAUAUUGCUGUCCAAGUAUGCUAACCAGUCGGCCGGUUCUAGUUUCAAUCGACCGACUCAUCUGAAACGACCAAGGUCACCAUCAGCUGAUAUGUUCAGUCGGUAUACAAAACCGAGUGGACCAAGGGCGCAGUUUUCAGAAGAGCAGAGGCAAUCUGUGUGGGAUCGACUUGAUUACUCAUAUAAUGGUCGACUCAACAUCGGUGACUAUCAGUCGGCUGGUCAAAAUAUGCGACCGAGUGGAAAUUUCAUGCAUCUGGAAAGUCGAAAAGAAUGGCGUGUUAAGUCACCAAGUGUUGCAGCAGUUGAGUCGGGAAAAAGCAAGGAGAAAACGGAUGCCGACUCACUUAUCUUGGGCACCAAAACAUUUGCCAUACAGCAGCCAAUUGUGCAUAGCAAACCGACUGAGCCGAUACUUUCUAUCGCGCCAAAGCACUCGGCUAAUGACCAUGAAGCAAGCACCAGCCGAGUAAAAACGAGAGAUCCUAAAUACACUCAGCCAAAGUGGUGUCCUCCAGGGCUAACAAAGACACAGAAGAGGAAACUACAGAGGUUAAGGAGCCAAGAGAUGGCAGAACAAGAGGCUGAGAAGCAAAGGGAUAAGUUGUUCAAUGACACUCGGCCUAUGGUACCCACAAAAAAAGUGUGGAGGCCCAAACAAAUACGAGAUACAGUGGCCUCUACGCCUAUCACAGCAGCACCUACACUACCAAAAAAGGACGACGCAAUCAUUGCAUCGUCUACGUUACCUAUUGCUUCCUCUUCACUCGGACAAAUUUCUGAAUCGGUGGAUGCACUUGAGGAGGAGGCUGAUAUGUUGGACUAUGAGUCUACACCGGUUCAUGGAGGUAUGGAUAUCAAUAUGGUGUAUUACUUACCUGCUGAGUUUCGUGCUGUAGAUGAGGAAGGGGAGGUGGCUCAGCUGGAUUUUGGCCCUAAAAACGCGAUAUUCGAGAAGCCAAAAGAACCAGUAACGCAUCUGAAACCAUUAUAUCUCAGAGGUCAUAUCAAUGGGUCGCCCCUCACUCGGAUGCUUGUUGAUGGUGGUGCUGUGGUAAAUCUUAUGCCCUAUUCGGUCUUCAAGAAAUUGGGUUUGCCUGAUGAAGAAUUGAUCAAGACCAAUAUGGUGCUUAACGGGUUUGAAGGCAAAGAGAAAACUAAAGCCAAAGGUGUGAUGUAUGUGGAGCUUACAGUCGGAAGCAAAACUUUGGCUACUGCAUUCUUUGUCGCUGAGGUGCAAGGUAACUACAACGUCAUACUAGGCCGUGAUUUGGUUCAUGCAAACCAGUGCGUACCAUCCACUAUGCACCAGUUUUUGAUUCAGUGGGUUGAUGAUGAAGUGGAAGUCAUUCAUGCGGAUAACUCGGCCUAUGUUGCUUUGGCCGAUGCGUCGGUGGAUUGGCAACAUCCCAAUGCUACUUGCUUGACGGGACGUGACUUAUCAGAGUUUGAUUUUCUCAGCGCAACCAAGAAUGGUUUUGUGCCCGUCUCUUUAAAGCCGACUGAAUGCAAUCGGCUCCAAGGUAUGAUAUGUUUAAAUGGAUUCUAGCUCUGAGUGGUUACAAAAACGUCUUGUGAAAUAUCGGUCCAGCGAGAACGAUAUGUAUGAGUCUAUAGAGGAGUUGGAUGACAUGGAUAAACUUGGACAAGGUUUUAUGUCGGCCGAUCCAUUAGAAGAGGUAGAUAUUGGAGAUGGUUCAGUCACUCGACCGACAUUUAUAAACAAAAAUGUGAAAGCCGAUUGUAAAGCUAAGUUGAUCGAGCUAUUGAAAGAAUAUGUUUGUUGCUUUGCAUGGGAAUAUCAUGAGAUGCCAGGGUUAAGCCGAGAGCUAGUGGAGUAUCGGUUGCCUAUAAAGGCCGGUUUUAGACCUUAUAAAUAGUCGGCCAGAAAAUUUAAUCCGAAAACAUAUGACCGGAUCAAGGAAGAGAUCGGUCGACUGCUUGAAGCUAAUUUCAUUCGACCUUGCAGGUAUGCCGAGUGGAUUUCUAACAUUGUCCCAGUGGAGAAGAAAGGAUCCGGCAAGUUGAGGGUGUGCAUUGAUUUCAGAGAUUUGAAUAGGGCUACACCCAAAGAUGAGUAUCCUAUGCCAAUAGCCGAUAUGCUUAUUAAUGAUGCUUCUGGGCAUAAGGUUAUUAGCUUUCCAGAUGGUAAUGCCGGAUACAAUCAAAUUUUUAUGGCCGAAGAGGACAUGUACAAGACUGCUUUUCGAUGCCCUGGUUUCGUUGGUUUAUUCGAGUGGACAGUGAUGACAUUCGGAUUAAAAAAUGCUGGAGCCACAUAUCAAAGGGCUAUGAAUUUGAUUUUCCAUGAUUUACUCGGUAUCAUACUUGAAGUUUAUAUUGAUGAUAUUGUUGUCAAAUCGGAUGCUUUUGAAUCUCACUUGGCCGAUUUGCGUUUAGCUUUUGAAAGAAUGAAAAAGUAUGGACUGAAGAUGAAUCCUUUGAAGUGUGCUUUUGGCGUGUCAGCUGGUAAGUUUUUGGGUUUCAUUAUUCAUGAAGAUGGCAUAGAGAUUGAUCCCAAAAAUAUAGAGGCUAUACAGAAAGUGGAGGCUCCAACAUGCAAGAGAGAUAUGCAAAAAUUCCUUGGCAAGGUCAACUAUUUGAGAAGGUUCAUAGCUAAUCUGUCAGGGAAAGUUGAUGCAUUUACUCCUAUCCUUCGGUUAAAGGAUGAUGCUGAUUUCACUUGGGGGGCAAAACAGCAAGAAGCAUUUGAUAUAAUCAAGAAUUAUUUGUGCACUCCUCCGGUGAUGAGAGCGCCCAAGCAUAGGGAACCCUUCAGACUUUACAUUGCAGCAGAGGAAGAAGUUAUUGGUGUUGUUCUAACUCAAGAGACCGAAGGAAAAGAGCAUGCCAUCACUUAUUUGAGCUGCCGCUUAUUAGACGCAGAGACAAGGUAUACAUUUAUUGAGAAAUUAUGUCUAUGCUUAUAUUAUGCUUGCACAAAACUGAGACAUUAUUUAGUGCCGAGUGCUUGUGUAGUAGCUUGUCAAACCGAUGUCAUUAAAUACAUGUUACAUAGGCCAAUUCUUAGUGGUAGAAUUGGCAAGUGGGCUUAUGCUUUAAUUGAAUAUGAUUUGGCUUAUGAAUCUCUAAAGUCCAUGAAAGGCCAAAUUGUUGCUAAUUUCAUUGUUGAACAUCGGAUUAAUGACAAGCAUGAUGUUGAUAUGAACCUUAUUUCAUUAGUACCAUGGAUAUUAUACUUUGAUGGGUCGGUUUGUAGCAAUGGCCAAGGUGUUGGUACUGUUUAUAUAUCUCCUCAUGGUGCUGUUUUUGAAGCCUCAUGCCGCUUAGAAUAUUUUUUCAUAAACAAUCAAGCCGAAUAUGAAGCAUUGUUAUUCGGCCUAGAGAUGUUACUUGCUAUAGGUGUUACACAUAUUGAUGCUUAUGGUGAUUCAUUACUAGUGGUACAGCAAAUAUCCAAAGUCUUUUAGUGUUUGGACGAAUCACUUAAUGUUUAUCUGAUAAAUGUCUAGAUAUAAUCUCUACUUUGGAUUGUUUUAGCAUUGCACAUAUAUCUAGACAUGACAACUGGAAAGCAAAUGAGUUGGCACAACAAGCAUCUGGAUACCAUGUUGAUCAUGGCAUGUUUCAUAUUUCUCAAAAUCCGAUGUCUUGUCUUACCAGUAUAGAAGAGGCCAAACCAGAACCCACUGAUUCGGUCAUUAACAAAAAAUCUAGUGCAGGUGACAAUUCCGACUGGAGGAAGCCCAUUGUUGCUUACUUGCGUAAUCCGAGUGAAAGGGUGGACAGGACUGUUUGGCGUAUGGCUUUUAAAUAUACUAUGAGGGAUGAUGAUCUUUAUCGCCGAACAGUUGAUGAUGUUCUUUUAAAGUGCUUGGAUGAGGACCAAGCAAGAGUUGCUAUGGGAGAGGUACAUGAAGGCAUUUGUGGUACUCACCAGUCGGCUCCCAAGAUGAAAUGGUUAUUACGACGUGCUGGGUUUUAUUGGCCGACCAUGAUUAAUGAUUGCUUCAGAUAUUAUAAAGAGUGCGAAGCUUGUCAAAAAUUUGGUGAUAUUCAAUUAGCUCCCGCUGCUAUGUUGCAUCCUAUUAUCAAGCCGUGGCCUUUCAGAGGAUGGGGUUUAGACUUUAUUGGGCAAAUCCAUCUGUCUUCUUCGAAGGGGCAUCGGUUCGUAUUGGUGGCAACUGAUUAUUUCACUAAGUGGUCUGAAGCAGUACCUCUCAAGAACAUGACGCAUACGAAGGUAAUUAAAUUCAUAAUCGAGCACAUGAUUCAUAGAUUCGGUAUUCCUCAAACGUUAACUAUAGAUCAAGGUUCAUCUUUUAUGUCACACCAAGUCAGAGAGUUUGCCGAAUCUUAUAACAUAAAGUUGCUCAAUUCCUCCCCAUAUUAUGCCCAAGCUAAUGGACAAGCUGAGUCUAGCAAUAAAAUUUUAAUCAAGCUCAUCAAGAAGAAGAUUGAGGAUAAUCCAAGGAGAUGGCAUGACUUGUUGUCUGAGGCAUUAUGGGCACAUAGAAUCUCAAGGCAUGGUGCUACGGAAGUGACUCCAUAUGAGCUAGUAUAUGGUCAGGAGGCUGUUUUACCAGUGGAAGUAAAUUUGAAUGCUUUGAGAAUAGCCAAGCAAAAUGAUUUAUCGGCAAUAGACUUCUAUAACUUGAUGAUGGACAACAUUGAUGAGGUUGCUGAUAAACGUUUGGCUGCUUUGAAUGCCAUAGAGAGAGAUAAGUUGAGGGUGGCAAGGGCUUACAAUAAGAAAGUAAAGUUGAAGAAUUUUCAAGUUGGUGACCUCGUCUGGAAAGUGAUUCUACCGAUUGGUUCAAGAGAUAGAAAAUUCGGGAAGUGGUCUCCAAGUUGGGAAGGUCCUUUUAGGAUUACAAGAGUUGUUCCCGGAAAUUCAUAUUUGGUGGAAUCGAUACAAGGGGCGUUUUUACCUCGAGCUCUCAAUGGCAAAUAUUUGAAGAAGUACUACCCGAGUGUGUGGCAGGAAGCCUAAGUAGGCAAUGGCCGAUAUACGAUUAUCGCCCUUAGCACAAACAUGGCCGGUACAUAAUUAUCGCCCUGAGAAGAAUAGAUGGCCGAUGGAGUGUUGACAUCGUUCUUAGAACAAACAUGGUGCAAAUUAUUUUUCGGCAUGCAAGCUUUGCCGAAAAACAGGGGGGCCUGUGUUGACACCUGAUUUUGGCACAAUGCAGAAUGCAAUGGAGAUGGCCUCAAAUGACAAAAUAUUCUAAAUGAGAAAAUUCACAUUGCCGAGUGGAACAACUUUGAUGUUUGGACCAUAAUCAUUCGGCAUCAUAUCAAAGACCAAAACUACACUCAGAUUGUCAUGUAGGUAUUCUGAGUGCUUUUUGGUCAAGUACGCCUCCAGGACAAUCUCGGAUGAAGGAAUGCUCUACAUGAAUUGUCUUCGUCUCGUCGAAUCGGUCGAUUUUGAUAUAAAAAUCAUCUCAAUCCGAGUUCGUAUGCAAAAGUUAGAACUAUCUAGAUGCAGCCCUGUCAAGAGGCGAAAUAUGACGCGGAAGACCAGACAAGUCUUGGCAAGUGUCUGAUGUAAUGCGUGAGUGGUUUGGCCCAGAAAAUGGCCUCGAAUCGGAAAACGUUCAACACGAAAGUUUUUCGUCUCGUCAAAACGGUCAACUUUGCUUUUGGACACAUUUUCAUCCGAGGUCGUUUACUGCCUCAAAAACCUUGCCGGGGAAAGCUUGCCGCCGUGAACAGUAACCUUGCCGGGGAAAGCUUGCCGCCGUGAACAGUAACCUUGCCGGGGAAAGCUUGCCGCCGUGAACAGUAACCUUGCCGGAGGAGAGCUUGCCGCCGUGAACAGUAACCUACCGGGGAAAGCUUGCUGCCGUGAACAGUAGAAACUGUCGAGGCCAAUCCGACCAGAUGCUGAAGAUGGGCUCAAAUACUUAUCUAGAUGGCUUCGGAUGAAGAAGUGUUCAACACAGGAGUUGUUCGUAACGUCGAAACGGUCAACUUUGCUUUUGGAGUCAUCAUCAUCCGACAUAGUAUACGACCUGCAGAGACACUGCAAGAGUCGGACGGUCCAGUCAGCUACAUGAACGAGUCCGACUCGAAAUUAGAGAUGACCCCGUGGAGUAUUCAAGAUGGCCUUAUUUGGAAAAGUGAUCAUCUUACGGAAUGUUGGCCUCGUCGAAGCACACAUAAUUGAUAUUUGAACCGUCUCCAUCGAAAGUCAUAUGCAGAUUCCACAGCCCACGCAAGGAACAAGACAGAAGAUUGGACCAGAUUCGGGCUGAAUCCGAGUGGGACCAGAACUAGGAUUCUAGGACGUGAAUUGAUGUAAUUUUCUUGUAAGGAAAGCCUAGAUAAAUCCUUUGCUUGUACGGGAAGUCCAGCCGCCUCUUAUAUAUGUUGGGGGUGACGGCCGAUUGAAACAACACACAAUCGAAAAAAUCAAUAUACUACUUUUUCAUUUACGUUUUAUCUCUCCACCGUUUUUCUAUCUCGUUCUUCGCUGUUCUUCGUGUUUGAGAGCUGCGAAUCCCGAGGCUCUAGGGGCGAGCGAAUCGACCUAGGGCAGCCCAUAGCCGCCGCACUCCCUGACGGGGUCCCUCCCGGGGGUGUGGGGUUUUCGGGUCUGCAAAAGCGCCCGUCGACUGUCUUGCGUAUCGCGCUGUCGGUCGGGUCUCCUUCGACGUGAGCUGCGGUGCAUCACCCCCGGCGUUGAGGGUACACGUGGCGUGUUCGUGUGUCAACAGGAUGUUAAGAAUAAGGGUAGCAGUGCGUAGAGCUUCGACCCAAAAACAGGGAGGAAGAGAUGCUUGGAUAAGUAGAGUGCGUAGGAUAUCGUUGAUGGAACAAAGAGAGCGCUCGGCCUUCCCGUUUUGAGAGGAGGUAUAGAGACAAGAAAAAGCGUAGAAGAAUGCCAUGGGAGAGGAAAAAUGUGUGGUUGGUGAUGUUGUCGAACUCGCACUCAUUGUCACAUUGGAUAAAGCGAAUAGGUAGCCCAAAGUGUGUUUGGACGUAGGUGCAAAAGGUGAGAAAAAGUUGAUGUACAUCAGAUUUAGCACGUAGAGGGAACGUCCAUAUGUAGUGAGAAUAAUCAUCUAAAAUCACAAGAUAAUAUUUAUAUCCAGAAACACUAGGAAUAGGAGAGGUCCAUAGAUCACAAUGUAAAAGCUCAAAAGGACAAGUGCUAAGAGUAGAUGAUGUUCCAAAAGGAAGUCGAACAUGUUUGCCGCAUUGGCAUGCCUUACAAAAAGAAGAAUCAUGUGAAACACUAGUGCUAGGAAUAGAAAAUUCUUGUAGUAGAGAUGACAACGUUGAAUUAUUGGGGUGACCGAGCCGACGAUGCCACAGAUCAACUAAAGCCAGCAUGGCGCGAGGAGAGGGUGCAUGCGCUCCAUGAAGUGGAUAGAGAUCGUCUGUGCUAUUGUAGCGAGCAAGAAGUGUCUCCGUUCUUAGAUCCUUCACAGAUAGACCAGAAGGAUCAAAUGCUGGAAUGACAAGAUUUUCGAUGAUAAAUUGGCGAACAGAAAUAAGGUUUUUGAUUAAAGAAGGAACAACAAGAAUAUUGCGGAGUUGAAAAUUGGCAUGAUCGGAUUGUAUAGAAGAGUGGCCGGUGCAAGAGACGGGAACAAGGGAGCCGUCUCCUAUGGUGAUGGAAGAAAGGAAAAUAAUCUAACAGAAUAUCCAUAUUUGAAGACAUAUGUGAGGAUGCAUCGGAAUCGAAAAUCCAAUCUGUACCUUGGUUAUUGAGUGUAAAGUUGUUCAUGGCGGCAAUGAAGGCGGCUUAAUCCCAGGCUCCCUGCGGUGGAGGAGUUGGCGGUCCGGGCGCAGGCGCGUGCGCGUAUGGCAUGGGUGAAGCAGGGCCGUAGGCGUAGGGCACAUAGGGGACCGGUAGGUAGCCAUGAGGUGAUCCUUGGACGACUCGCGUUGGAGAGGUCGUGGCAGUGUAGACAUGAGGCGGUGGCCGCGGACCAAGGAGACCGGGAGCACCGGUAGCAGGGCGAAGGCCCGGGCUCCAAUUGCCGGUGUACGCGGGAGGAGCGCCGUAUGGAGACGGCGCCGACCAGGGCAUGGGCCACGCCUGAACUAGACCAGUCCAGGGGUCUUGCUAAGGGUGCCAAGACACGGGAGCAGUGGCCGAUGGAGGAGGCGCCAGUGGUGAAGCCAAUGGUGAUGGAGCAGCAGGUCGAGGCUGCGGCGGCCGGUAGACGGGGUUUUUGCCCCGAUAGUUAGGACUCGGGCGCCAUCCUGGAGGAGCCGAGGAUGUAGGCGUCGGUGGAGCAGGCGAUGGAGGCGGCGCAGAUGGUGCAGAGAGCCGGGCGACGUGAAACACCUGGGAAGGACGCGUCGCCUUGCGCGCCUGGUUCUGUGCCUCGAGCUGCAAGAUGGAGCGGACCUCCGCGAAGGAGGGGUAAGGUCGCAAAAUAGGGAUGAAGGCGGCCUGCUUCUCGAACUGUUCCCCGAGGCCGACGAGGAGAGCUUUGAUGAGGGUCCGAUCGUCAACGUGAUCACCGAGCUCACGGAGUUCAUCGCCGAUCGCCUUGAUGCGUUGGCAAUAGGCGGUGACCGGAGAGUCGCCUUGGAUGCUGGUGCGGAGCUCGAUGUGUAGCGCGUUAACACGCGCAUCGAAGUUGUCCUAGAAGAGCUGCUGAAGAGAGGCCCAAAGUUUAGCGGCGGUGUCGUCGUCGUUGGAGACGAGGUUGAAGAGCUCGGUGGAGAUGCGGGUAUAUAUCCAUUGGAUGACGGUGGGUCAUCCUUGAUCCAGCGAGGGUCGGUCGGCCGCGGGGGAGCGGCUGGAUUGAUGUGAUGGCGGAGACCGCAGCGGCCGAGGUGGACGUGGAAGAGGUGGUGCCUAUGGUAGAAGUUGUGGGCGGCGAGGUCUAGGGUUAUCGGGAUGAAAGGUGAGACAUCGGCGAUAGUAUCGGCGAGGGAGAGCUGAGGUAGUUGGGAUGGGGUAGGGUUUUAGGUAGAGGUUCAAAAGAUAGAGGAGCAGUGCCGGUAGCGCGGAACUCGGUGAUAGUGAAGAGAGUAAGUUUAUAUAAGUACAAAGUCUUGGGGUCCAAGUAUAAAAGAGAUAGAUUACAAUUCAAAACUAACAAAAACUGAACCGACUGAAUAUAUUCUAAUAACACUGGCUCUAGACUUGCCCAUCAUAAAAAACAGCAGUGUGUGACAUAACUAAAGGCGGAAACAUUAGAGCAAAAGAAUCCCUUGCUUCACAACUAGACCCAGGUGCUGGUUUGAAUAAAUGCAAGAAAUUGAGCUCCACAUAUGCUUUAAUCUUCAUAGCAAUACAGCGAGGAUGAGGAGCAGCAAUGCCAUUUCGAGAAGCAUUACGGGCGUCCGAGAUGUGCCAUGAACUGACAAUCAGCACUAUGGCUACAUAAUUAGAGGAACGCUGCAAGAAAUCAAACAAUCACUGUUGGGGAGAGAGUAAGUUGGACUGCCUCAGCGUCAAGUCAUAAGAAAAGCUUCAUGUCCUUCACGGGCAUAAGGACAUAACAACGUACAAUGUCCAAUGCUCUCCGUCCGCUCACGGAAACAGCAGGCAUCAGUAGUCGGAGAAGCUUGACACCCGGUGGCAAGCAGUCACGUGCCAAACGCCAAAGGAUGACCUUCAUCUUGUUAGGAGCAAUGAAGGACCAGAUGGCCUUCCAAUCCUUCAUCAGAAAUGCUAUUUGAGAAUUGGCCACGGCCAUUACAGCCUCGAGAGACCAUGAAGCUAGUUGACCGAGCAAGAUUUUACACGGUUACAUGCACUGUGGUAAGGUUAAAUGUAGUGGGAGCGUGCACGGGAGGGAAAGUUGCAUGCAUAGUUGCUCCCCUGUCUCCCUCUUCAAAACCUACAUUCAAACUAGUCUAAUUUUACUAUUUCCGUAUUUGCAAUCGAAUUCAUAGAAAUUACAUUGUCUCGAAGGAAAUUAAACCAUAUCAAAUAUUUCACUAAAUUACAAAAAUAAUGGAAAACCAUUUCGAUUAUUUUACUCAAUUUCAGAAGAAAAAAAUGAAGACAUAUUUUAAUUAUUUCACUCAGCUUAGAAAAUAUUGCACUUCCAUUUUAGACUUAUUUCAUUUAUUUCACAUACAUUAGGCACAUAUUUCGAUGAUGUGACAACAAAUUGAACAUGUACUUCAAAUAUUUUAAUCAAUUUCAGAAAGAAAAAUAAACACAUAUUUUAAGUAUUUUAAGUAUACACUCAAUUUCAGAUAAACUUUAAACACAUAGUCAAUUAUUUCACUCAGUUUUAGAACUUAUUAAACAGACAUUUUAUAUGUAUCUAAGUAUAUCACAUACAUUAGACACAUAUUUCCAUUAUUUUCUCUCAAUUUUAAAAAAUGAAAAUAUAUUUCAAUUAUUCCUAUCAUGUUCCAAAGAAGAAAUUGAGCACAUAAUUCAAUCCAUUUGAAUAUGAUGAUAUUUUCAUAAAAAACAAACACAAAGUUCAAUAUAUCUUAAUAUGAUCAUAUGUUUAACAAAAAUGAACACAUUUUUAGUUAUGUCACUCAAUUUCAUAAGCCAAAAAACAUAACGUCUAUUUCCAUUAUUUCACUCAAUUUCAGAAGGAAAAAACGAACAAUUAACUCAUUUUUAGGAAGGAAAAGGUGGAUACAUAAUUCAAUUAAUUAAUUGAUUGAUUUGUUUAGAGACACAGUGAAAUAUAAAGUAGUUAAAAUAAAUUUAAUAUCAAUCUUGUUUUACAGGCUUCUCGACAGGAAUUCAAAUAUAAAAUAAAAAUAAAAAUGGAGUUUUGAUUUAAAAGAUAUGAAUGUUUAUAUAUGAAAACUAAAUUAAAAGGCAUGUAAUUGUUGGAUGAAGUAAGAAAGAGAAUGGAAGUGCUUUCUCUAUCUCAUGAAUAGUUGCACCCCAACUCUCAAAAGGAAGAUUGGGAUACAUCAAUAUACAUGUGGGUGGAGAUAAAUUAACACGCGCAGCGGAUGGUGGAUUUUUGAUCGGUACAUACAUUUGCCUUUAGAAAAUAACUUUUUUAGCAAGACCUUUAGAAAAUAACUUUGCCAUAGUAAUGAUGAGACCUUCUGUCAGUUGGUUCACUGACGCUCGCAGCGUUAGCGUGCAGGCCGCGGCCCAAUAACUCGCAACGAGUCCGCUUGCAUUUUCAAUUCGCUUCGCUGCCAGCUCGCAUGGUCGCUCGAUCCCCCGUUGAUCGCUAGUUGACCUUUUGACCCUGAAAAUUAACCAUUAGCCAAAACAGGUGACCAAUGACUCUUUAAAAUCGUUUAUUUGGAAAAAAAAUGUUCACAUAUUUGAAAUAUAUUGACCAAUUUGAGAAAGUUUACGGAUUUCAAAAAUGGUUAUCGAAAUUUUAAAAUUGUUCAUGCAUUUGGAAAAAUAUCACAAAUUUCAGGAAAAAAUCAUGAAUUUGAAAUAAAAAACCUAAAUUCUAAAAUAAUCCAUGAAUAUGGAGUGUUCAAAAAUAAAAAUAAACACGAAUUUGUCCACAAAUUUUUAAAAUUUCAUGGAUUUUUAAAACUUUCUUAGAUUCAGAAAAUGUUCAAUAAUCUGAGAAAAUUUUGCUAAUUAGAAUUAUUUCUGUGAUUUUGAAAAUAGUUCACGAAUUUCAGAAAGGAAAAAUAAAAUAAUAAUAAUAAAUAAACGAACGAAAAUCAUUUUAGAAAAACCGCCAUGAGAAAACCUUCCAUGUGGUUCCCAAUACUGGUGCAAAAAGGCCAUAUGGGCCAGCCCACUAUGUCGGCGCUAAAGCUUAACAGGAAUCGGCAAAAUCGCUAAUUGAGUACUCCUUGCAAAGAUCACUCCUAACUCAUCAGUUUGUGAUGAGUGGCGUGAAGUGGCGCGUUGCAUGUGCGUCACUUGUUGCAACCUGAAAUUUUUUCCUUUUUUCAUAAAUUCGUUUAUUCAUAACGCUUUAUCUCUUAAACCGUGCAUCCAAAUUUCGAACCAUUUUCACUGUUGGAUUUCUCGGGCUAGGAUCUUCAAAAGUAGAUCCCAUAUUGAUAGGUUUUGACGAUGAAAAAACCUAAUUGGAAGCGUGGUUUUUUUCCUUUUCUGAAAGAGGCACGGUUGUGCCUCUUGCUAAAGCACAACCGUACCUCUCGCGGAAGGAAAAAAAUAGAAAACAUAUUUUUUUCCGUGCCUCUCGCGGAAGAAAAAAAUUAAAAAUGUGUUUUUUUCUGUUUUCGAGAGGCAGGGUCGUGCCUCUCGCGGAAGGAAAACCGUGUCUCUCGUGGAGGAAAAAAAAGAAACGUUUUUUUUGUUUUCGAGAGGCAUGGUUGUGCCUCUCGCGGAAGCAAAAAAAACGCGUUUAUCGAGCAAAAAAAUCGGUUUUGUGCCUCUCGCGGAAGUAAAACCGUAUCUCUCAUGGAGGAAAAAAAGAAGCGCGUUUUUUUCGUUUUCGAGAGGCAUGGUUGUGCCUCUCGUGGAAGAAAAAAAACACAUUAAUUCGAACGAAAAAAAUAAUUUUUUGUCCAAAAGCUAAAGAAGACCGGUGGAAAACAAAAAAAAAAC